AGAGUUUGAUCAUGGCUCAGAUUGAACGCUGGCGGCAUGCUUUACACAUGCAAGUCGAACGGGCUUGGGGGCUUGCUCCCAAGUUAGUGGCGAACGGGUGAGUAAUACAUCGGAACGUACCAUGUAGUGGGGGAUAACGUAGCGAAAGUUACGCUAAUACCGCAUACGAUCUACGGAUGAAAGCAGGGGACCUUCGGGCCUUGUGCUAUACGAGCGGCCGAUGUCUGAUUAGCUAGUUGGUGAGGUAAAGGCUCACCAAGGCGACGAUCAGUAGCGGGUCUGAGAGGAUGAUCCGCCACACUGGGACUGAGACACGGCCCAGACUCCUACGGGAGGCAGCAGUGGGGAAUUUUGGACAAUGGGCGAAAGCCUGAUCCAGCCAUGCCGCGUGUCUGAAGAAGGCCUUCGGGUUGUAAAGGACUUUUGUCAGGGAGCAAAACUUACUGGUUAAUACCCGGUGAGGCUGAGAGUACCUGAAGAAUAAGCACCGGCUAACUACGUG
rnacentral:rRNA from 1 species